UCCCUUAGUAGCGGCGAGCGAACAGGGAAAAGUCCAGCGCCGAAUUCCGCGCCUUUCACGGGUGUCUGGAAAAUGUGGCGUUUAGGAGGGAGCGUGCCGGUGCGUGACUCUGCAGCAAGUCCCCCUGACCGGGGCUGUUUCCCAUAGUGGGUGCGAGGCCCAUAGCUGCUAAGUCUCCUCGGGAUGCGACCUCUUGGGAGUCGGGUUGCUUGAGAGUGCAGCCCUAAUCGGGUGGUAAACUCCACCUAAGACUAAAUACGGCCGCGAGACCGAUAGCAAACAAGUACCGUGAGGGAAAGUUGCAAAGAACUUUGAAGAGAGAGUUCAAGAGUACGUGAAACUGCUCAGAGGUAAACAGGUGGGCCCUCGAAAUCCUGUGGUGGGAGGGUUCAGUCGGAAUAGGCGGAUGUGUGCGCCGGAGGGACCGGUUCUUCGGGCUGGUUCCGGUAUCGCACUGUUUCUACCUUGCCUGACGCAAUUCCUCCCGCCCUAAUGGACGUCGCGGCCAGUUGGGUUUUUUAAGACGGCCUUAAGGGCGGACGACGGCAGGUGACCGGUGGCGAGACUCGUUCUUUUCGCCGGUUGUUAGCCAGUCUGUCUGUGGCUCGUCACCCGACUGAGGUUUUGACGGGGCCCGUUUUAUGGGCCCCUUUGCCGUCUCCUCCCCCUUUGAGGUAGCGGAAGGAUGUCGACAGACGUUCAGCGGCGGUCGACGUUUCACUGGAUCAUACCGUGUCCGUCGCGCCGAAGUCUUUGGUGGUUGGCACGAGUCCGCGGGAGUGCU
rnacentral:rRNA from 1 species